GAGCUGGCGGACCUCAAGCACGUGCACACCAAGCUGAAGAAGCAGUGCCAGGAGAAGAUGGCGGAACUGGCCCACGCGAACCGGCGCGUGGAGCAGCACGAGGGCGAGGUCAAGAAGCUGAGGCUGCGGGUGGAGGAGCUGAAGAAGGAGCUGGCGCAGGCCGAGGACGAGCUGGACGAAGCCCAUAAUCAGGCUCGGAAGCUGCAGAGGUCCCUGGAUGAGCAGACAGAACACAGCGAGAAUCUACAGGUUCAGCUGGAGCAUCUGCAAUCAAGGCUCCGCCGGCAGCAGAAUGCCCCACUCUUUGGAAAGAUCCGGAGUUCUCGAUUUGGAUCUGAAGAACCUGGGGAUGGUACGAGUGACCUGGAUGAGGAUGAGGACCUACAGAUCCAAGUCCCUUAGUGCAAGCAAAGGAGAAGGGAAGAGCCAGCCUGCAGGAGGGAACGACUUGGACCAACUCUACAGUGUUUUUAGUGUCAACAGCCCCCGGGCCUGCUGGGCUAUGAGAGCUGGGCCAAGAUGGGAAGAUCCGGGCAACCUGACCCUUACCAAGCUGAGGGUAGGGCACUCCUUCCUCAGGUCAGGCCAGGGCUAUCCGAGAGACCCACCUGGCCAGAAUUCAUUCCCUUCGACUGCUAGCCGGUUCCUCCUGGCCCCCUUAGUCCCUUUCUUUUUCCCUCUAGCCUCUACCCUGCCCUCAAUCUUCUGGAAAAUCACCAAGGAUGGACUAAAAAUAAGAUAAUGAUUUUAUUGGGCCAUUAAAGAGCAGAGUAGGAACUGAGACUGAGCAGGGUCCUGCCUAUCCAAUUCCCUGGAAAGGUGGGAGAAGUGUUUUAUUAUACAUAUACCUAUAUUAUAUACAUGCAUACAUAUAUGUGUGUGUGUACUUGUACCUGUUUUAUUUUAUAAACGUAUGAACUAAGGAGAGACUGGCUGCUGUGAGAAAGAUUUGGGGAUUUAACUCGGUCUCCCUUUCCCCAGUUUGGGGUCCCCUUUUGGACUCUGGCAUUACAAGACAUGGAAGCCAUUGGGAAGACUUCCCCCUCCCCCAGCCGAGCUCCAGGGGCCCAAUGGGGCAGAGGAGUGGGCCAACAAGCAGGUUUUUUUACAAGUCGAUCUUUUGUGAUUGAGUUAAGAUCACCUGGAGACGAGUCUAGCUCUGUGGAAAAGCAGGGACUGGAGGAUGAAAAAAGAAGGUGCUUGGCCUUGAAAAUACCCUUCUAAUAUGAAAGAGGCAGAGUCUCGAGCUCCACUGUCUCUUCCUCCUUGGCUCAAGGCCAGAUGAGGCCUGCUUCCUAGACUCGCUGCCUUGAGUGUGUGGGACCCCUCGUGCUCUGGGAGAGUCCCGAGACAUGACGGGAGCAGCCCUGGAUGGGGUCCCGUCCUGUCCUGCCGCUCUGACCUUGGGCCCUGCGCUUCCCCUCUGCUGCCCCGUACCAUGAAGGGGUUGGUCUAGACGAUUUUCAAAGGUCCCUUCCAGUGAUGACAUUGUAUGAUUCUGUAGUUCUCUGACCCUGGCGGGGAGGAGGACCGCAAACCCACAAAACCAUCUCCUGCAGGGAGGUUAUUGUUCUAAUAGCCCCACCCCGCUCCCCUCCGCCUCUCCCCUGACAGGCCGUUAAUAAAACAUGGGCCCUGACAAUUUCCA
ensembl:lncRNA